rnacentral:tRNA from 1 species
GGGCCUGUAGCUCAAUUGGCAGAGCAAUUGACUCUUAAUCAAUGGGUUUUGGGUUCAAGUCCCAACAGGCUCAC